ACAGUGAGUCUCAGAACCCCGCGGAAGCUGUGGCUCAUUUCUAAAGGUGCUGGCAAUAUCGAGGAAGACUUGUAUCCACAAAAUUCCAAAUGAGAGUAAACUUGAAGCCUGAAAUUGCAGCACUCAUUUGGUGACCAGGAGUGGGCAAACAGAAGGACAAAGGCCUACAAGAUUAAAUAAUCAAGUCAUUAUUGUGAAUUUGGAUCUAAAUGACCUGGCAGAAACCAUGGAGAUGAUCUUGGAUUUAAAGAGGAAAAACUCAAAGCAAUGUAUUCUGAUCAAGAAAUGGCAGGAAAUGGCAGCUACCUGAUAUGGAACAAUCAACAACUGAAGGUUUAUUUUGAAUGAGAGGUGUUGUCCAACUGCGAGACGGAGUGAUUGAAGCUGAGAAUAAAUGGAAACACAAUCAAUAGUCACUCCAGUGAGGUAGGAAAGAAAGCCAUUCCGAAGUGGCAGAGAAGCUGCUUUUUCCUCCUGCAUGCUGCCUGCUAGUGUGGAUCUUGGCAUAACAGACACUACUUGGCAAAAGAUCCAUCCUUCCUUUUCCUAUACUUUGCUCAGCGGCCUGGAAGAUUGACCUCAAAAGCAAAAUCACCUGGAUUUCCUUGCCAUUUGGCUUUCAAAUGUGCUCAGCCAAUGACAGGCUGGAAAGAAAUUGACAGCUGGGAAAAGAGGAAGAUUUGUGUACAAGAUCCCUUCCACUCCCAUCUCAUUACCUGCCAUGGUCCUAGCAGUGGCUGUUCUUAUUAUGGCCACAACUACUCUUGGACAGGCCAACAUCCACAACUCCAUCCUUCAACUAGGCUUCAUUAACACUGUCCCUCACCCUUAUCUCUUUCUGGGUAGGGGUGAUAAAGGUUUCCUGACAUCAGAGUUCCUGAGUGCCUCAUAUAUUCUUGUUGGUCCCUGAACCUUGCCCCAACAUCAAUAAAAAGUUCC
rnacentral:lncRNA from 10 species